rnacentral:rRNA from 1 species
AACAAACGCUGGCGGCAGGCUUAACACAUGCAAGUCGAACGCCCCGCAAGGGGAGUGGCAGACGGGUGAGUAACGCGUGGGAACAUACCCUUUUCUACGGAAUAGCUCUGGGAAACUGGAAUUAAUACCGUAUACGCCCUACGGGGGAAAGAUUUAUCGGGGAAGGAUUGGCCCGCGUUGGAUUAGCUAGUUGGUGGGGUAAAGGCCUACCAAGGCGACGAUCCAUAGCUGGUCUGAGAGGAUGAUCAGCCACAUUGGGACUGAGACACGGCCCAAACUCCUACGGGAGGCAGCAGUGGGGAAUAUUGGACAAUGGGCGCAAGCCUGAUCCAGCCAUGCCGCGUGAGUGAUGAAGGCCUUAGGGUUGUAAAGCUCUUUCACCGAUGAGGAUAAUGACGGUAGUCGGAGAAGAAGCCCCGGCUAACUUCGUGCCAGCAGCCGCCGUAA